UGGGGGUUGGAUCAAGAUGUUGUGGCCCCCGCCAGCGUUGAACUGGUGAUCACGGGAAUCUCCAUACACCAGUCGGUACAGCCGUUGUCUGCUUAAAGUAGGCCGCCAGAGGAAGCUCGCAUCGCUUCUGGUGCUCCGAAUUUCAUGUAGCAGUCGCGCCGCAUGCCGUGGAGGGGUGAGCUGUGUUGGCAGCUCAGAAGAUGCGGGACGCCG
ncrna:unclassified sequences PAGEV RNA